rnacentral:lncRNA from 1 species
AGGCUAAGGAAAGCAUUGCGCAUGCGGGAAACCCACGCUGAGGGAAGAAUCAUGGGAAAGAGUAGAGACGGGGUUCCACCGUGUUAGCCAGGAUGGUCUCGAUUUCCUGACCUCGUCAUCCUCCCGCCUUGGCCUCCCAAAGUGCUGGGAUUACAGGCUUGAGCCACCGCGCCCCGCUCUUUCGUGUUCCAAAGGCUUUUUAAAUAAACUUCCACUCCUGUCCUGGAUUCUGCUUUAUGGCCCUCAGUCGAAUUCUUUCUUCUGAGGAGGCAAGGACUGAAGUUGCUUCUGACCAGUACAGAUUGGGAAGGAGAAAGUCACUUGACUCACAGGCCAACUGCUAUGGACUGAAUUGUGUCUUCCCCUCAUUAAUAUGUUGAAACCCUAUCCUCCCUCCAAUGUGAUGGUAUUUGCAGAUGGGGCUUUUGGGAAGUAAUGAAGUUUAGAUGAGGCAUGAGGGCUGGAUGGAUAUGAUCAGAUGAGUGCCCAAAGAAGAGACACCAGAGAGCUAGCUUCUUCUUUCUCUUUCCACCUUUACACACUGAGAAAAGGCCAAGUGAGCACACACCAAGAAGGCAGCCAUCUGCAAACCCAAGGAGAGAGUCCUCACUAGACACCCUGCUGGUACCUUGAUCUUGGACUUCUAGCCUCCAGAACUGUGAGAAAUAAAUUCCUGUUGUUCAAGCUAGUAUUAAUACCUGGUGUUUUGUUAUGGCAGCCUAAGUGACUAAGACACCAACUUAAUUUACUUAGCCAGGGUCAAUCAGUGGUAGGGCCCAGGAUUCUGACCCAGUUCUGCCUAACUCCACAAUUCAUGCUUUUUCUGGAUAUAAACAUCUGCCUUCCCAGUUUCCCUGACUCUUAGAGCCGUGGAGCAGUGUGUGUCAUGUGCUGCACACCCAGGCUGGAACAGCCUGUCUCCAGGAGAAAACGAAUACAGCAGGGAUGACUUCCACCAGCUCCACUUUGCAGCUCUGAGGUGUAUUAAAAAUGACCUGGAAGAAGUCAUGCCACGGGCCAGACCUUAACAUUCCUUUCGGCUUACCCCAGGAUUUCAGACAAAGCUUCACUUUCCUAACCAGUCACAAAUCAGAGAAUUUUUGAUUCCACCUAUGACCUGUGAGCUCCUGCUUCAAGAUAUUCCACCUUUUUUAGGCCAAACCAAUGUAUAACCUCCAAGUGUCGAUUUACACUUUCGACUGUAACUUCUGCUUUCCUGAGAUUUACCCCUGCCUUUAAAAACCCUUGCUUGUAAUCCCUCAGGGAGGCCGUGUAUUUAUUAAUCAUGAGCUGCCCAAUUCUCCUUGCUUGGUGCCCUGCAAAUAAACACCCUCUUUUCUCCCACUGCAAAA